GCCCCCAUCGUCUAGCGGUUCAGGACAUCUCUCUUUCAAGGAGGCAGCGGGGAUUCGACUUCCCCUGGGGGUAGGGUACUACAAAAGGAAGUUGAUCGUGAAUUAUCAGUACGUCUACCUAAAAUUGAAUUGAUUCUUCCUGGGUCGAUGCCCGAGCGGUUAA
rnacentral:tRNA from 1 species